rnacentral:rRNA from 1 species
GAUGAACGCUGGCGGCGUUCCUAAUACAUGCAAGUCGAACGAGGUGCUUUUGUAGCAAUACGAGAGUAUCCUAGUGGCGAACGGGUGAGUAACGCGUUGGUGACCUACCCCAAAGUGUGGGAUAACAGUCCGAAAGGAUUGCUAAUACCGCAUAUGGUCUCUGGGUUUAGAAACCGGUGACUAAAGGAGCAAUUCGCUUUGGGAGGGACCUGCGUCCCAUCAGCUAGUUGGUGAGGUAACGGCUCACCAAGGCGACGACGGGUAGGGGACCUGAGAGGGUGGCCCCCAACAAGGGAACUGAAACACGACCAAGACACCUACGGGGGGCAGCAGUAGGGAAUAUUGCUCAAUGGGCGAAAGCCUGAAGCGGCAACGCCGCGUGCACGAUGAAGGCCUUCGGGUCGUAAAGUGCUUUUCUGCGAGAUGAGAAAGGACAGUAUCGUAGGAAUAAGUCUCGGCUAACUACGUGCCAGCCGCCGCUGUAACAC